AGGGAGGCGGACGCGCGANCGCGAGCGGCCCCAAAAACGGCCCCCCAGUUCGGACUGCAGCCUGCAACCCGGCUGCACGAAGCCGGAAUCGCUAGUAAUCGCGGAUCAGAACGCCGCGGUGAAUACGUUCCCGGGUCUUGUACACACCGCCCGUCACACCAUGGGAGCCUGGAAUGCCCGAAGCCGGUGGCCGAACCGAGAGGGCGGAGCCGCCUAAGGCAGGCCCGGUGACUGGGGUGAAGUCGUAACAAGGUAGC
rnacentral:rRNA from 1 species